GUCCUGCGUAGAGGCCCGGAAGCCACGAUUCUGGGACCUGGAGGAGAGAUCCAGGGCCCCUGUGUCCGUCUGGGAUGAGGAGGAGGAUGGUGCCGUGUUUACUGUCACAAGCCGCCAAUAUCGACCUCUUGAUCCCUUGGUCCCUAUGCCUCCCCCACGUUCCUCCCGACGUCUCCGAGCUGGCACUCUGGAGGCCCUGGUCAGACACCUACUGGAUACCCGGACAUCAGGGACUGAUGUGACCUUCAUGUCAGCCUUCCUGGCCACCCACCGGGCCUUCACCUCCACGCCUGCCUUGCUAGGGCUUAUGGCUGACAGGCUGGAAGCCCUUGAAUCUCAUCCUACCGACGAACUAGAGAGGACAACAGAGGUAGCCAUCUCUGUACUGUCAACCUGGCUGGCCUCUCACCCUGAGGAUUUUGGCUCUGAGGCCAAGGGUCAGCUUGACCGGCUUGAGAGCUUCUUACUUCAGACAGGGUAUGCAGCAGGGAAGGGUGUUGGGGGGGGCAGCGCUGACCUCAUCCGCAACCUCCGGUCCCGGGUGGACCCCCAGGCCCCCGACCUUCCUAAGCCCCUGGCCCUCCCCGGCGAUCCCCCUGCUGACCCCACGGAUGUCCUGGUGUUCCUCGCUGACCACUUGGCCGAACAGCUGACCCUGCUAGAUGCGGUGAGACCCUGACCUCUGGCCCCUAUGCCCCCGACCCCUUACUAACCUCUCCUUGACUCCAGAUCCUUUCCUUGCUUCCACCCCUUCCUGAUCCAGCUCCUAGCCUCCUCCACCUACCAUUUUGAUUUUCCUUUUCCCUUUGGUCGUUACCCUUCAAACCCUGUGCCCCUCUGGUUCCUUGGCCACCUGAGAUCCUCAGAUCCCUGAUAUUGGAAAGCUGACCUCACUUGACUGUGAACUUUAACCUCUGACCUCUACCCUGCAGGAGCUUUUUCUCAAUUUGAUCCCCUCUCAGUGCCUGGGAGGCCUGUGGGGUCACAGAGACCGGCCAGGACAUU
rnacentral:sRNA from 1 species